CUUCUUUUAUUUUUUUAAUUAUUUAUUUAUUUACUUUUUGGUACUGGGGAUCGAAGUUGGGACCUUGCACUUUCAAGACAGGCUGUGGCACCACUGAGCUAAAUCCCCAGCCCUCUACUUCUUUUACAAAACAAAACAUAGGGAAACAAAAGAAGAAAAAGGAAAGAAGCAAAUAAAUCAGAGCUUUUUGCACCUCCUUAAAAUUCACAUCGGAAGUUAUUGCUUCACUCUCCCCAUUUAUUCUUAUGGCAAACUGAAGACUGAAGACGGGUUGGAUUAAGCAACAUUUGCAUCAGGGUAACUGGCUCGAGCUGGCUCCACGCUAUUUCGAGGAUGAAUGAGAUGAGAGAAUGGUCUGAAGAGAGGAUGAGAGGAGGAGAACUGGAGACUGAAUUUACACUAAUAUUCUUUUAAGGAGUUUUGCUGUUAAAGAGAAGCAGAGAAAUAGACAUAGCCAUAGGGCAUAUGGGAUCAAGUGAAGAUUUUAUUUCAUAUAGAGAAUAUUAUGGCAUAUUUUUGUGUACAGACAUUGAUAGAAAAGCGUGUGUGGUGAUAACAGAAAAAGCAACAUAUACCAUAAAUGUGAGCAGACACUGGACACGAGUGUAUGCAAAUUGUUGAUGAGGGGACUUGGGGUGUGGAUAGGGGUGUAUUUUCAGUUUUAUUAGAAGAAAAUCAAGUCAGGUUACAGAGGACACACAAUAAAAUAUGAAUUCUUACAAAGAAGAAAAAGAAGCUGAAGAAGAAGGAGGAGGAGGAGGAGGAGGAGAAGGAGAAGGAGGAGAAGGAGAAGGAGAAGAAGGAGGAGGAGGAGGAUGAGAAGAAGAAGAAGAAGAGGAGGAAGAGGAAGAGGAAGAGGAGGAGGAAGAAGAAGAAGGGUAACAGCACUGAAAUACAGUGGUUAUGAUUAUAGGCCCAGCCAGUGUGUAAGCUUUCUGGAAGCUGUGGAUAAGGAGAAAUGGUUAAAUUACUUAACUCACUAUGUAGAAAAGGAAAUAAAACAGCACUUUAGUAGAGGCAGUAUUCCUAUAAGUAACCCUGGUAACUAUUGCAUUUGCAAUGUGAGUUACAGAACGGGACAAACAUCACUAAUAUCUAUUUCAUCACACUUAAAAAAUGUGAUCAGUAUGGAUCAUUCUUUCAAUGUCCUUUUUAAAGGACCAAUCAUUAAUAGAGGUUGCUUAAACAUUAAAGUUUUUGAUGUUUAAUAUGAGUAAGUCUUAAACCUGUACCUUCAAAAAGGCAAGCAGACGAGCAUUCUUAAAUUUACAUUGAGUUGUUGAGAUUUUGAUGGGAACAUAAUGGCCAGCAUAUUAAAGAGAUCCCAUCAAGCUUAGAAUACAUCUGCUAUGCUCCACUAUGUGAUAAGGACAGAGCCCAUCUCCUUCGGAACAGGUGGUGGCAUCUGCACAUGUGUUAGUAUGGUUAAGAAGCCUACUUUUUUGUAGUAAGCCUGAUUGGAGGCACCUGGAUUGCAGACAGAACUGCAGGCAAAGUCAAAGUUUUUCUCAAAAGGAAUUUAAAACAGAAUUUGGUUGCAACUACCCCAGAAGCAUGACAGAGGUGAUUUUAGUUUUAAGAUUUUUCAGAGAGGUGUUAGCAGAAGUACAUAGCUGUGUGAAUGUUAGCUCACUGCAGUGCUCAUUUAUCAGCCUGACAUACUGAUGGGCCUUCCCAGGGAGCAGAACACAUCUCUAGAUGACAGAACACAUUGGUCUCAUGUACAGAGUUAUUUGUUAUUGAUCUCUUAAAGGUUGGAGCAUACCAGCUUGGAACUGUAAUUUUCAUUUAAAAAAAUUUAGUUUUUUCCUAAAAGUAAGUGGACUAGACUCAUUUGAGAUGUAAGUGCCUCAGUCAAAUAAGCAAACAACACAAUUAAAAUCUAGUCAAAUGAAAUGUUUUGUAUUGUAAGAACUAAAAAAGUAGACAUGGAUUAAAUUUUUCGAGCUUCAGAAUAUGUUAGUGACAUAAACAAAAUAAAACACAACCCCUCAACAGCCAAAGCAUAUACUGUGAAUGCUCUUUAUUCUUAUUCUGAUUCUGCUACUGAAACAGAAACUGCUACAAGAAUGGGUUGAGGAAGUACAGCAAAAAUGACUUGGUGCCAGCCUGCCCAUGAGAGCCUGGACAUAUCAAAGGUAGAAAGGAAGGGCAGAAUCUUAGGGCUACGCCCAGAAACCCAAAGAAGUGUCAUUGGGUUAGAGAAGUUGCAUACACUAAAUUUCCAUCUGGGAAGGGCCACACAGUGUUUUAUUAGAUUCAAAGUGCCAAACUUUUUUUUUGAAAUCACCAAGAAGUUCAUCUUUAAGGGGAAACUAUUCAAUCUCUGGUCUCUUAGACAUGAUGCAUGAUUCAUCUCUAAGUCAUUUUAUACUUUUGAAAUUUGUCAGGGAUAUAAUGGAAGCAAAGUUUUUCUCAAAGACAUAGACUGUUUGUUUCUUGCAGAGGAAGUGAAAAAUGAGGAAACCAUCUGGCAUUUGCUCAAAAUAUCAAGAUAAUUGAGGCCAAACUAUCUUUUAGCUUAAUUUUAUAUCAAUGAACACCCUUCAUGCCUCUUUCCACAUUUUUCUGCAUGGAGAGUAUCUUAAGGAAAUAAACUGAAAUUUACUAAUAAGAAUUUUACUGUUGGGU
ensembl:lncRNA